UGGGAACCUUCCCUAUGGUUCGGAAUAGCCCAGGGAAACUUGGGCUAAUACCGGAUAAGUCCGUAAGGAGAAAGAUUUAUCGCCAAAGGAUCGGCCCGCGUCUGAUUAGCUAGUUGGUAGGGUAAUGGCCUACCAAGGCUACGAUCAGUAGCUGGUCUGAGAGGAUGAUCAGCCACAUUGGGACUGAGACACGGCCCAGACUCCUACGGGAGGCAG
rnacentral:rRNA from 1 species